AUAUGUUUUUGAUGUUGAACCAUUUGACUAUGCUAAGGACUUUAAUGGGGAGAACUUUGUUUUCCCAGGUUUCAAUAGCUGUGGUUGCUGAUGGGGUGGAGGCUUCAGCACCUGCGGAAGCAGUUACCAGGUCCCAUUUCCAUAGAGUAUGCCUCCUGGAAAAAGUGACCCGGGCAAGGAAUGCAAACCACAAAGAAGGAAGACAUUUGCAUGCGAGCCAGGACAGCCUUGUCCAUGGAUUGAAGGAUCUAUCUUCCACCUGUCAAGGAAAUGCUCUCCUUGCCGAGAUCACAGCUAAUCCUGGAAACCUAGGGCUCCUGUAAGAAAGAUAGAAUGAGCACUCUGAGGAGGGGUUGCCCACUGAGUACAGAGAACACCCUAGUGGAGGUGCCAAAUUACAACCAGGAUGGAUGGUAGCGUGUCUAAGGAGCCCUCCACCCCAGCCUAGACCAUUGUUGAUUUGGCAUGGACAAGCUGUCAAGAUGAAGGGUACCACCUAAUAACUGGUAAGAAACUGUUGCACACUGGAAUGU
rnacentral:lncRNA from 1 species